GCCUCUAUUAGCUCAGUUGGUUAGAGCGUGGUGCUAAUAACGCAAACGUCCAUUUCCUCGUUCCGAGCAAAUGUCCGCGAGCUUUAUUGUGCAAAGGUCGGUGGAUCAAUCCCGCCAAUGGGCA